UCCAGUUUAAUGGAAAAAGGAGGCCCCUGAGUCUUCAGCAUCACAAACAAUGACUGUUCCUAGACUUGUGUGACCACAUAUCCCAGGUCAGACAGAUGGACCUUGACGCAAGCUUUCUGAGAUCACCCAACCAGAAUGUCCAAUGCACUUAAAAUUGGAAAAUUUGGGGGAAGCAAGAUGGCCAAAUAGAACAAUCCAGCAAUUCUUCCCAUGCAGUAAUACCAAAUUUAACAACUAUCCCCACAAGAAAGCAUCUUCAUAAGAUACAAAAAUCAGAUCUGAGUUGGGUUCCUUAACGACAGAUGGGUCUGUCAGCCAGUUGGGCCAAAUGAGUCACAGUGAUCUGCCACAAUCGUGGACGUCCAAAAGCCGUGGAGGGAUCUGGAUGCCCACUCACUGAGGAUCAGAAAGAAACCUCAUGCUGGAUGCCAAGCCUGCCUUCUCCUCUCCUUAGCACCUGAUGAAAUAAACUCAUAUAAGCCACAUAACACAACUCUGCCACCAAUUGUCCCUUCUGAAGAUUAUAUACAAAAAUAAGUGUCA